GUUGUAUGGUUAAGUGACUAAGCGUAUACGGUGGAUGCCUUGGCAAAUAGAGGCGAUGAAGGACGUGUAAGUCUGCGAAAAGCUGUGGUGAGCUGACAAAACGCAUUUGAGCCACAGAUGUCCGAAUGGGGAAACCCACCUGUUUACAGGUAUCUGCAACUGAAUACAUAGGUUGUAGAGGCAAACGAGGGGAACUGAAACAUCUAAGUACCCUUAGGAAAAGAAAUCAACCGAGAUUCCCUNNNNNNNNNNNNNNNNNNNNNNNNNNNNNNNNNNNNNNNNNNNNNNNNNNAAAGUAGUAGUGGAACCUUCUGGAAAGUUGGACGAUACAGGGUGAUAGUCCCGUACAUGAAGCUGCUUUGUUUACAUAUUAAGUAGGUCGGAACACGUGUUAUUUUGACUGAAGAUGGGGGGACCAUCCUCCAAGGCUAAAUACUCCUAUUUGACCGAUAGUGAACCAGUACCGUGAGGGAAAGGCGAAAAGAACCCCUGUGAGGGGAGUGAAAUAGAACCUGAAACCGUAUACGUACAAGCAGUGGGAGCCCCAUCACUAAGUGCCUUUAGUGAUGAGACUCACAAAGUGCAACCGUUUGAUAUGACGAUUAACGUUGACCUGCUUUAGCAGCCAACGGUAAACCGCGCCAAAUCAAGCAGGGUGCUUAGUGAUGGGGUGACUGCGUACCUUUUGUAUAAUGGGUCAGCGACUUAUAUUUAGUAGCAAGGUUAACCAUGUAGGGGAGCCGUAGCGAAAGCGAGUGUUAACUGCGCGUCUAGUUGCUAGGUAUAGACCCGAAACCCGGUGAUCUAGCCAUGGGCAGGUUGAAGGUUGAGUAACAUCAACUGGAGGACCGAACCCACUAACGUUGAAAAGUUAGGGGAUGACUUGUGGCUGGGGGUGAAAGGCCAAUCAAACCGGGAGAUAGCUGGUUCUCCCCGAAAUCUAUUUAGGUAGAGCCUCGGACGAAUUCCAUUGGGGGUAGAGCACUGUUAAGGCUAGGGGGUCAUCCCGACUUACCAACCCUUUGCAAACUCCGAAUACCAAAGAGAACUAUCCGGGAGACACACGGCGGGUGCUAACGUCCGUCGUGAAGAGGGAAACAACCCAGACCGCCAGCUAAGGUCCCAAAAUAUUGCUAAGUGGGAAACGAUGUGGGAAGGCCCAGACAGCUAGGAGGUUGGCUUAGAAGCAGCCACCCUUUAAAGAAAGCGUAAUAGCUCACUAGUCGAGUCGGCCUGCGCGGAAGAUGUAACGGGGCUAAGCAAUAUACCGAAGCUGCGGCAGCAUGUUUACAUGCUGGGUAGGGGAGCGUUCUGUAAGCCGCUGAAGGUGAACUGUGAAGUUUGCUGGAGGUAUCAGAAGUGCGAAUGCUGACAUGAGUAACGAUAAUGCGGGUGAAAAACCCGCACGCCGGAAGACCAAGGUUUCCUGUCCCAUGCUAAUCAGGGCAGGGUAAGUCGGCCCCUAAGGCGAGGCAGAAAUGCGUAGUCGAUGGGAAACGGGUUAAUAUUCCCGUACUUAUAUAAUCAGUGAUGGAGGGACGGAGAAGGCUAA
rnacentral:rRNA from 1 species